rnacentral:rRNA from 1 species
CUCAUGGCCCUUAUGCCCAGGGCUACACACGUGCUACAAUGGGUGGUACAAAGAGAUGCAAUCUCGCAAGAGCAAGCAAACCUCAAAAAGCCAUCCUCAGUUCGGAUUGGAGUCUGCAACUCGACUCCAUGAAGUCGGGAUCGCUAGUAAUCGCGGAUCAGCACGCCGCGGUGAAUACGUUCCCGGGCCUU